rnacentral:rRNA from 1 species
UACGUAGGGAGCAAGCGUUGUCCGGAAUUACUGGGCGUAAAGGGCGCGUAGGCGGGGUUAUAAGUUAGGUGUGAAAACGUAGGGCUUAACUUUACGAUUGCACUUAAAACUGUAAUUCUUGAGUACAGGAGAGGAAAGUGGAAUUCCUAGUGUAGCGGUGAAAUGCGUAGAUAUUAGGAGGAACACCAGUGGCGAAGGCGACUUUCUGGACUGUAACUGACGCUGAGGCGCGAAAGCGUGGGGAGUGAACGGGAUUAGAUACCCCGGUAGUCC